rnacentral:rRNA from 1 species
UAGAGUUUGAUCCUGGCUCAGAGCGAACGCUGGCGGCAGGCCUAACACAUGCAAGUCGAACGGACCCUUCGGGGUUAGUGGCGGACGGGUGAGUAACACGUGGGAACGUGCCUUUAGGUUCGGAACAACUCAGGGAAACUUGAGCUAAUACCGAAUGUGCCCUUCGGGGGAAAGAUUUAUCGCCUUUAGAGCGGCCCGCGUCUGAUUAGGUAGUUGGUGGGGUAAAGGCCUACCAAGCCUACGAUCAGUAGCUGGUCUGAGAGGAUGAUCAGCCACAUUGGGACUGAGACACGGCCCAAACUCCUACGGGAGGCAGCAGUGGGGAAUCUUGCGCAAUGGGCGAAAGCCUGACGCAGCCAUGCCGCGUGAAUGAUGAAGGUCUUAGGAUUGUAAAAUUCUUUCACCGGGGACGAUAAUGACGGUACCCGGAGAAGAAGCCCCGGCUAACUUCGUGCCAGCAGCCGCGGUAAUACGAAGGGGGCUAGCGUUGCUCGGAAUUACUGGGCGUAAAGGGAGCGUAGGCGGACAGUUUAGUCAGAGGUGAAAGCCCAGGGCUCAACCCUGGAAUUGCCUUUGAUACUGGCUGUCUUGAGUAUGGGAGAGGUAAGCGGAACUCCGAGUGUAGAGGUGAAAUUCGUAGAUAUUCGGAAGAACACCAGUGGCGAAGGCGGCUUACUGGCCCAUUACUGACGCUGAGGCUCGAAAGCGUGGGGAGCAAACAGGAUUAGAUACCCUGGUAGUCCACGCCGUAACGAUGAGAGCUAGUUGUCGGCAUGCAUGCAUGUCGGUGACGCAGCUAACGCAUUAAGCUCUCCGCCUGGGGAGUACGGUCGCAAGAUUAAAACUCAAAGGGAUUGACGGGGGCCCGCACAAGCGGUGGAGCAUGUGGUUUAAUUCGAAGCAACGCGC